rnacentral:tRNA from 1 species
GGCGAGGUGGCUGAGUGGUUAAGGCGAUGGACUGCUACUCCAUUGGGCUCUGCCCGCGUGGGUUCGAGUCCCACCCUCGUCG